UACGAAGGGGGCUAGCGUUGUUCGGAAUUACUGGGCGUAAAGCGCGCGUAGGCGGUGAUCCAUGUCAGAGGUGAAAUCCCGGGGCUCAACUCCGGAACUGCCUUUGAAACGGGAUCGCUAGAGUCCGAGAGAGGAUAGCGGAAUUCCUAGUGUAGAGGUGAAAUUCGUAGAUAUUAGGAAGAACACCGGUGGCGAAGGCGGCUAUCUGGCUCGGUACUGACGCUCAGGCGCGAAAGCGUGGGGAUCAAACAGG
rnacentral:rRNA from 1 species